UCGAUCCCAGGCCGAGUUUUCGCUUUUAUAACGGUUAGGCGAACAACUGGGCCUGGUACUAGUUGUCUGCGCAUGCGUCAAUCGUUCGUCAGAUUCUGACGAAUGGAUAUUCUCGUUCACUUUCGUGACAUUUAUAUUCGUGUACUAUCGUGUACUAGAAGUCAGUUCCCGUUUUAUCAUUAUUGGAAUCGAUUGGAAUGGCUCUUAGCUGAAGCUUCUCUCUUCUCUGAAGCUUAUUCUGAAGACUGAACAACAAGGGAAGAGGUAUAAAGCUUUGUCAAGCUUGUUAAGGUCAGAUAUUUUUGUGUGGGCCCUAUGGCCGGCUAUGCUAUCAAGUCUUGUUCAUGUUUGGCAAGAAUGUAGGUAGACUAUAGUUUCAUCAUUAAUAUAGUAGAUCAAGUGAAGAGUGUGAGCUAGAGAACUUGGUGCUGCCAUCAUCAGCUCGUCGACAAUGACACUAUAACCGAGAAAUUUAAUAUGUAUAGAUCUACACGUAUUUAAAAUGUCUACUUCUCUGUACAGGAGCAAUGGCUAAUAUCCAGCUAUCCCAACAGUGCUCCUCUUGGCUAUACUAACGGACGAGACUGGACAGUUUGAGACACAGGACUGGAGUAUGACCUGCUCAUUCGAGCGUUGCUGGGUAGCUCAGAGACAUCAAGAGAAUCUACGUUUUCUCAAGCAAUGAGUUACGAGUUGGGGCCUAGAAUCAGAGAAGUCCAGCAGCCUGCUAAAUCUUUUUGAAACGUAAUUUGAAGGCAUUCAAUCAUCCUGAAGUUGCCCUGGGUCACUGUAAUUGUGCUGCAGCACAACUGGCAACUCCCCAGGCCUUUGUGAAGCAGCUCCCUAUGUGCAUCUUUUGUGUACUCACUCUGUGCAUUUUCUGUGUACAAAUUUUGAUUAUUGAUUUAUUAAAUAUUUUUGCCGACCACAAAUAUACAAUGAAAA